GAGCGAAGUGAUGGUUUACCAUCUUUCGGGACUGAAACCUGAUGAUCUUUUAUUAACUGAUCGCUC